AAUAUUGGAUGUGGCUGUAGAACAAGUAAAGAUGCCUCAGAGUGACUGGUAAUUAGGGAAACGUGUACCAAGUAGCAGCCAAAGUGUUUAAUUACGUGUUAUACAACGUUGUGACUCGUCUCUGAUCGCUGCCGCACACACACACACACACACACACAGGGCAGUGAAGCAGGUGGUUAGUGCAGUGUUAACACUGCAUCAUCAUUACUACCACACCACCACAUCAGCAUCACACACACACACACACACACAAGGCAGUGAACUGGGUGUGAGUGCAGUGUUAACACCACACACCAUGGUAUCCUUGGCGCCCGGCGCCGAUCCGCCGAGCCCCGUCAAGCCCCAUCCCGUCCUGCUGCAGCUAAGGACUGGAGAGGCAAGAAGUACUGCCCACUGCACUAUGCUGCCCACAAUGGCAAUGUGGAGGUACUGGAGGCACUGCUGAAGGCUGGUGCCGACCCCAAUGCAAUAGAAGGGGAGUGGCAUGCCUGUGUCCUUCCCUGUUCUAAUUGUUCCACUUGACCUACUUUGAGUUGCAAUUAAGAUGACAAGACUGUGGAUUUGAAAUCAUCAGGCAACAUGAAAUCAAAGUAAGCCCCUGGCAGAACUUGAAUGUGGAUCUUUCUGGUUCUUGUGCUCAUAUGCCAACUACCUGGUCACUGCCUCUCCUGCUGAGACAUUAAAGUUCCUUUCUUUUAUCUGCUGGUGUACUUAAUUAGCUGUAGUACCUGGGAAUUGUGAUGGUCACCAGAGGUGCUGGGGUCCAUGGAACACAAUAUUUCACAAGGAAGAACAAUAAUAGUUAUAAAGUCUAUUUCCUGUUAGAAUUAACUCAUGCUUGCAUGACAGUGGUGCAUGUAUCUUAUUUAACUAACAAGCUUUUGUAUUCUGCAGAAUCAGCUGUGAUAUUAUUAAACUAUAUAAACUGAGUAAAACUCACUUUUCACCGUCCCAGUGACAUAGCAUGUGAUAUACUUGUACCAUAGCAACUGAACGUUAGUUCAAAGUCCAGAAUGAUCGUCAGAUCAGGUAAUGCUGUGCUGUACUGUGCUGGACAAACAUGCAGUGGCUGCUGCUGCUUCAUAGUACUAUACUGUUAUAGAGAAAAUUACUAUGAAUUAAUGCAAUGCUAUGAUGCAAAUUAUGAUUAAAGUAUAAAUUAUUUAUGUACUGAAUAACUGAUAAUUCCUCAGGUUCAAAUUAAGCCUAAAUGUCCUAAGGAGAAAACAUACAUGUUAAACAUAGAUAUACUUAAUAACUGAUCAUGAGGUUUCUGUAAAAACUGUUAUGUGUCAUUAUAAGUAAAACCUGAUGCCAAGUAUAAA